UACAUGUGGGGCAAGCGUUGUUCGGAAUUACUGGGCGUAAAGCGUGCGCAGGCGGUUCGCUAAGACAGAUGUGAAAUCCCCGGGCUUAACCUGGGAACUGCAUUUGUGACUGGCGGGCUAGAGUAUGGCAGAGGGGGGUAGAAUUCCACGUGUAGCAGUGAAAUGCGUAGAGAUGUGGAGGAAUACCGAUGGCGAAGGCAGCCCCCUGGGCCAAUACUGACGCUCAUGCCCGAAAGCGUGGGGAGCAAACAGG
rnacentral:rRNA from 1 species